rnacentral:rRNA from 1 species
UACGUAGGGGGCAAGCGUUGUCCGGAAUCAUUGGGCGUAAAGAGCGUGUAGGCGGCCCUGUAAGUCCGCUGUGAAAGUCCAGGGCUCAACCCUGGGAUGCCGGUGGAUACUGUCGGGCUCGAGUCCGGAAGAGGAGUGUGGAAUUCCUGGUGUAGCGGUGAAAUGCGCAGAUAUCAGGAGGAACACCAAUGGCGAAGGCAGCACUCUGGGACGUGACUGACGCUGAGACGCGAAAGCGUGGGGAGCGAACAGG